AUCUUUCAACUGAAGAACUAUUAAAACUAUGUAAUGAUGGUGUUAAAAUUCUUCUUAAAAAUAUUAAAGACCAUAAUUUACAUGAACUGAAGAAGAAAAUAGAACUAGAAGGAUUUCAGGAACAAUUAAAACCAGUAAUAGUUUCAGACAUUAAACUUAGAAAAGAAUUAUCAGUUAAGAAUCCUUCAUUGAGUGAUAACGAUGAAAAUCUUGAAGAGUGUCGCGCAUCCAUAAAGGAAGCAGCAAAAAAAUUUGUGGAAAUAAAUACAAAGAAUAAGAGUGAACAAAUACAAAUAAUUCAGUUAUAAAUAACUUCUGAUCUUAUAAAUAAUGCAUCUUAUGUGUUAUGUUAUUAAAAUUAAUUUUCUGUUUCAAAUAUCCAUAAUAUUGAAAAAAAUAAAACAUUUAUGUAUAAUAAAUAAAUUAUUUAUCAUGGCUUUAUUAAAUUUACAUCAUCUGCAGCUUUCUGUUUUAAGUUGUGUAAUUCUUCAUUAAGUUCAUUCUUUAAC